rnacentral:lncRNA from 1 species
UUUAUUUGUGGAGUUGAUUUAUAAUUCAGAGAGACUAGAGAAAUUGUUCAAAUCCAUUUCUUCUGUUUCUAGGUCAAGCAUCUUUGCCAUUUGCAACUCGGUCUACAAUCAGUCAUUCAAUUGUGAAGACAUGGGUCAUGAUAAAACCCACUUUACAAAAUUAAUGAGCUAUAGAAAAUGAAU